rnacentral:rRNA from 1 species
GAAAGCAGGGGAUCGUAAGACCUUGCGCUUUUGGAGCGGCCGAUGUCUGAUUAGCUAGUUGGUGGGGUAAUGGCCUACCAAAGCUUCGAUCAGUAGCUGGUCUGAGAGGACGGCCAGCCACACUGGGACUGAGACACGGCCCAGACUCCUACGGGAGGCAGCAGUGGGGAAUUUUGGACAAUGGGCGCAAGCCUGAUCCAGCCAUGCCGCGUGAGUGAAGAAGGCCUUCGGGUUGUAAAGCUCUUUCAGCCGGGAAGAAAAGGCUGCGACUAAUAAUCGCAGUUCAUGACGGUACCGGAAGAAGGAGCACCGGCUAACUACGUGCCAGCAGCCGCGGUAAUACGUAGGGUGCGAGCGUUAAUCGGAAUUACUGGGCGUAAAGGGUGCGCAGGCGGUUUUGUAAGUCAGAUGUGAAAUCCCCGGGCUUAACCUGGAACUGCGUUUGAAACUACAAAGCUAGA